rnacentral:sRNA from 1 species
CAGGACAGGGCCAGCAUAAUCCAUGACAGUGUGACCUUUUCCCACACCACCCCUUCCAUUUGCCUCAACCUUGACCUGAAGGGAUGACCUAUAGA